rnacentral:rRNA from 1 species
UCCCGGCGCCACGAGUGGAAGUCACUUCUAUUGGGUCUAAAGUAUUCGUAGCUGUUUUGUUAAGUUUCUUGUGAAAGCCCUGUGGCUUAACCCAGGAAUUGCAAGAAAUACUGACAAAAUUGGGACUGGGAGAGGUAUGAGGUAUUGUUUGGGUAGCGGUAAAAUGUUAUAAUCCUUACAAGACCAACUAAUGCGAAGGCAUCAUACUUGAACAGAUCCGACGGUGAGGAAUGAGAGCUGGGGGAGCAAACCG